UGCGCAGUGUGUACCUUUGCUCUCUAUCUCUAUCGUUCUCUCGCACAUAUACGCGAGCUCCCCUCCCUUGGCGUCCGUCCUCGCGGCGUCGUUCGACGCCAGUGCGCCUAGCCUGCCAGGAGACGUUAGAGAGAGAGAUUCCCGUGGUGGUGGGGGUAGCUUUUACGGGCGCGUUACAGCGGCGACCCGUACAGUCGCGCGGCGCGCUCUUACGCGCUUACGUGGUGCUGCGCUGUUGCGGCAUCGUUAAGAUUGUAUCGACCCUUACCCAUUGGACGCCAACUCGUCCAAUGCCGUGCCGCCGAAAACAUUACGUCACCUCUCGGUAUUAUUGAUGCCGACCAUCCGGCAGCAUCGCGGAGCCGAACGGUCGAGGGUAGCCUUCCUUGCUGCUUUAAGUGCCGGCAAGGCUUCGAAGCUGCAAAGGGGAGGAACAGGGGGAGAAGGAGGAGGGAGAUUUGAUAAUGUCAGGGUUAUAUUGGCCGAAGGGAGAAAGCGAAAAGGAGAAGAAGGAAGAAAACGAAGAAGAGGAAACGCGUUAUGGGAAACGUCAGGAUCUCAAAAGCUUUCGAGAUCUUCGUCGGCGUGCACGAACGUUUUAGCCCUAAUUUCUUCAAAGCGAAAAUACAUUCUUUGAUCCUCCUCAUCAUUCUUUUUCUCUCGAUCGUCUUUUCCUAACAUUCUUGUUACCGAUUCUCCUAUCUCUCAUAUCUACCUAUACAAUUUCAUUUAUCUACUUCCUCCUCCUUUCGUAUUUUCCUUUAUUAUAUAUAAAAUGGUUUAGCGAGAUUGAAAAUUUGUUUUUAAAUUACCUUUACAUUUCAUGAUCGACAUUUAGCGAAUAGAAAAAUCUACGACGUUCGAAUUUUUGUUUGUUUGUUUGUUUGUUUGUUUGUUUUUCUGUCUGUCUCUGACAAGAUCGAAACGAGAAAGGAAUAAAUUUGUCAUUUUCUUCUUUUUCUUUUUAUCUUUAUUCUUAUUUUAUUCACUUGUCGAAAGCGUAGAGAUAUUUGAUAUCUUUUUGAUACGAGAUACAAACGUAGAUUUCAAAUAUAACUAUCGAUCAAGCAUAUCCAACGAGAUUUAUGAAUACCUUUGUCGAACAUUCUGCAAACAAAUAUAUAUGCUCUUACGCAAGUUAUUUAUGUCGAUUGCACGAGUACGAUAUUGGAAAUGCAUUUUUUUGGUUACCUCUUA